rnacentral:rRNA from 1 species
GACGAACGCUGGCGGCGUGCUUAACACAUGCAAGUCGAACGGAAAGGCCCUGCUUUUGUGGGGUGCUCGAGUGGCGAACGGGUGAGUAACACGUGAGUAACCUGCCCUUGACUUUGGGAUAACUUCAGGAAACUGGGGCUAAUACCGGAUAGGAGCUCCUGCUGCAUGGUGGGGGUUGGAAAGUUUCGGCGGUUGGGGAUGGACUCGCGGCUUAUCAGCUUGUUGGUGGGGUAGUGGCUUACCAAGGCUUUGACGGGUAGCCGGCCUGAGAGGGUGACCGGCCACAUUGGGACUGAGAUACGGCACAGACUCCUACGGGAGGCAGCAGUGGGGAAUAUUGCACAAUGGGCGGAAGCCUGAUGCAGCAACGCCGCGUGCGGGAUGAAGGCCUUCGGGUUGUAAACCGCUUUCGCCUGUGACGAAGCGUGAGUGACGGUAAUGGGUAAAGAAGCACCGGCUAACUACGUG